rnacentral:tRNA from 1 species
AAGAAAAUAGUUUAUACUAGAACAUUUAUCUUGCAUAUAAAAAGAAUUAACAUUUUUCUUA